CGAAUCACAUACUGGCCUGCAAUGGUUCUGCUCAUGGAUGACAGAGCAGCAGGAAAUGGACCUGAAUAUCCUCUUAGCAGCCAUGACUGGAUGCCAAAUGGGACAAAGAAGAACUUUGAAUAUGACAUCACACUACCUCCUGCACUGUGGUUCCUGAUAAGAAAUCAGCCAUUCAUCUUACUGAGACUCCUUUAGGAUUGGUGCCCUCAUAAGAAGAGAAAGACACACCAAAGCACUUCCUUUGAUGUGAAGAUACAGUGAUAAGGUAGCACUUUCCAGGGUGUCUGCUGUGUUUCUGAUCCAGGGAGGCACCCGCUGCUGCUCCUGAUGGGCUAGAGGCUCGCCAUUGUUCCUGCUAGGCUAAGUGCCUGGGUUCGUCCUAAUCGAGCUCAACACUAGUUGCUGGGUUCCACGGCUCUCUUCCAUGACCCGCGGCUUCAAAUAGAGCUAGAACACUCACCGCAUGGCCGACGGUUCCAUUCCUUGGAAUCCAUGAGGCCAAGAACCCCAGGUCAGAGACCAAAGGCUUGCCGCCAUCUUGGGAGCAGCCUGCCACCAUCCUGGGAGCUCCAAGAACAAAGAUCCACCUGUAACAAUAAGAUUUAUUGUCCAGAAGAAGAAUGUCACAAGGUCGAUUGAUCAGGUAAGGUAGGGCAGGGACAGUCACAGUGGUGGAAUGUUGUAAUGUUGGUUAAUCAGUUAAGGCAGGAACUGACUGUUUUACUUCUUUUGUGGUUUUUCGGCUGCCACAGACUUCUUGGCUCCUGCAGGCCAUCUGGACAUAUAUGUGCAGGUCACAGGGGUUACAAUGGCUGAGCUUCGGCUCAGAGGCCUG